GAUGAAGAACGUAGCGAAAUGCGAUAAGUAAUGUGAAUUGCAGAAUUCAGUGAAUCAUCGAAUCUUUGAACGCACAUUGCGCCCGCCAGCAUUCUGGCGGGCAUGCCUGUUCGAGCGUCAUUUCAACCCUCGAGCCCCCCCGGGGGCCUCGGUGUUGGGGGACGGCACACCAGCCGCCCCCGAAAUGCAGUGGCGACCCCGCCGCAGCCUCCCCUGCGUAGUAGCACACACCUCGCACCGGAGCGCGGAGGCGGUCACGCCGUAAAACGCCCAACUUUCUUAGAGUUGACCUCGGAUCAGGUAGGAAUACCCGCUGAACUUAAGCAUAUCAGUAAGCGGAGGA
rnacentral:misc_RNA from 1 species